GACAGAGGGUGCAAACGUUGCUCGGAAUUACUGGGCGUAAAGCGCGUGUAGGUGGUGCGGUAAGUCGGGUGUGAAAGCCCGGGGCCUAACCCCGGAAGUGCAUUCGAAACUGCCGUGCUGGAGUACUGAAGAGGAUCGCGGAAUUCCCGGUGUAGAGGUGAAAUUCGUAGAUAUCGGGAGGAACACCAGUGGCGAAGGCGGCGAUCUGGGCAGAUACUGACACUGAGACGCGAAAGCGUGGGGAG
rnacentral:rRNA from 1 species